UCGUAAUCAAAUAUUGAGUAGAUAUGAAUGAAUAUUUAUAUAUAUACAUACACACACGUAAGUAUUAAAAAUGAUACAAUGCCCAUUUACCCACUGCCCAGUUUAAUAGAAAGAAUGUUACCUUUGCCAUUGCUGUCUCUCAUAUGCCUUUCAUUUUACCCAGUUAUCUCUCUGUUCAGGGGAGCAUAAUCCAGAAUUUUGUUUUUAUCACUUCCUUGCUUUUCUUCAUAGUUUUAAUACAUAUGUUGGUAUCAUUAAACUUACUUUUUUUUUCAUUUUUCUUUCCUUUUUUUUUUUUUUUUUUUUGAGACGGAAUCUUGCUGUGUCACCCAGGCUGGAGUGCAGGGGCACGAUCUCCGCUCACUGCAAGCUCCACUUCCCGGGUUCGUGCCAUUCUCCUGCCUCAGCCUCCCGAGUAGCUGGGAUCACAGGCACCCGCCACCACGCCCGGCUAAUUUUUUUGUAUCUUUUUGGUAGAGACGGGGUUUCGCCGUGUGAGCCAGGAUGUUCUCGAUCUCCUGAUCUCGUGAUCUUCCCGCCUUGGCCUCCCAAAGUGCUGGAUUACAGGAGUGAGCCACCGUGGCCCGGCCUAAACUUAUUUUUUUUUUCACUAAACAUGUUCCUGAAUUCAUCCAUAUUGUUUUGUGUAACUGUAAUUUGUUAUUUUUUCUCAAAUACAUAGUAUUUUGUUAGAUAAAAAUGUCAGAAUUUGUUUAUUGCUUUUAUAAUAAUGGGCAUAUGGUUAGAUUCUAGGUUUUUUGUUUUUGUUUUUGUGUUCUUAAACAGUAUCUUCUGGUGAACAUGUAAAAUAAUGUUUCUAGAAUAUAUACCAAAGAGUGAAAGUGCUAUAAGGGAUCUGGGCAACUCCCAUUUCUGAACUGUUUCUGAAUUUAUUUUCAACCACAUAGAAAAGAGAGAGAAAAUGUGGAGAACUCCUAUUCUGCCUUCAGCAACCUUGGACCGGAAGAGAAACAUCACUUCUCUCCACAUUUCCAUUGGUGAGAACUCAGUCACAUGCUCCCAAUGGACUUACUAGCUCUAUCUCAGGUUACAGUAAGAGUCCACUGGGACUUACUAGCGCUCUCUGUGUAGUCUGACUGUGUGCCAGAAAGAAGAAGUAUAGCACUGUUUGGUUCAGAGACCCGUAAUUCCAGCUACUUGAGAGGCUGCGGCAGGAGAAUCGCUUAAACCCAGGAGGCAGAGGUUGCAGUGGGUCAAGAUCACACCUUGAACUCCAGCCUGGGCGACAGAGUGAGAGUCUGUCUCAAAAAAAGUGUUUUAUUCCUAAAAACUAUUGACAGAAUAGUCAUUAAAUUAUUUGAUUGUUAACUCUGUACUCCAGACAUGACAUAUCAUUGGUAAUGAUCUGUAUUGUUCAUAAAAUUUUUUCUAGUGGAAAUAUAAUGUGAGCCACAUAUUUAACUUAAAAUAUUCAAGUAGCAAUAUUUUUUAAAAGAAAAAGAAACAACUGAAAUCAAUUUAAUGUUUUAUUUAAUUUGAUAUAUUUCAAAUAUCAUUGAAACAUGUAAUCAAUAUAAAAUAUUAAUGACAUUUUUAAUAAUCUUUUGUUGUACUAAGUCUGAAAUUUAGUGUGUGUGAUGGUUAAUAUUGAAUGUCAACUUGAAUGGAUUGAAGAAAGCAAAGUGUUGAUCCUAGCUGUGUCUAUGAGGGUGUUGCCAAAGGAGAUUAACAUUUGAGUCAGUGGACUGCUAGAGGCAGACUCACCCUCAAUCUGGCUGGGCACCACCUAAUCAGCUGCCAGCGUGGCUAAAAUAAAGCAGGUAGGAGAAGGUGGAAGAGCAGACUUGCUGAGUCUCGGCCUUCAUCUUUGUCCUGUGCUGGAUGCUUCUUGCCCUCAAACAUCUGACUCCAAAUUCUUCAGCUUUUUGACUCUUGGACUUACACCAGUGGUUUGCCACAGACUAAAGGCUGCACUGUUGGCUUCCUUAUUUUUGAAGUUUUGGGACUUGGACUGAGAUACUACUGGCUUCCUUGCUCCUCAGCUUGCUGACAGCCUAUCGUGGAACUUCACCUUGUGAUCAUGGAGAGUUCAAGGCUCAGAAUAAAUCAAGUCCCUUUGUGUUAAGAAGCACAUCAGCCUUUAACAAAUGCAGAAUUACUGGGAAAGGAGUAGUAUACAUAGCUUUUGAGCUCUUGACUCCUCAGAGCCUGAGAAUCUCAUGGCAGCUGUUCUUUGAAUUCAUUUCUUCCCUGAGCCCCCAGAACUGACAGAUUAACUAUUUCUAAAGGUAGGGAGGAGGGACAGCCAUUGGUGGUCAGUUUGGCAGACAUAAUGUGUGCCUAGAGCGACAGUUUGCUUCUCUUCCCCUUCACCUUUUAGUCUAUCAUAAAAGUUUCCAGAAUUCUUUAAAAUAAUGAACAGAGAACCAAUCUCCAUGAGCAAAUCAUUGAAUACGCACCAAGGCUCAUUGACAUGAUUCUUUUCAUUUUGUCAUAA
rnacentral:lncRNA from 10 species